UGUGUUAGUGGAAGCGUCUGGAAAGGCGCGCGAUACAGGGUGACAGCCCCGUACACAAAAAUGCACAUGCUGUGAGCUCGAUGAGUAGGGCGGGACACGUGGUAUCCUGUCUGAAUAUGGGGGGACCAUCCUCCAAGGCUAAAUACUCCUGACUGACCGAUAGUGAACCAGUACCGUGAGGGAAAGGCGAAAAGAACCCCGGCGAGGGGAGUGAAAAAGAACCUGAAACCGUGUACGUACAAGCAGUGGGAGCACGCUUAGGCGUGUGACUGCGUACCUUUUGUAUAAUGGGUCAGCGACUUAUAUUCUGUAGCAAGGUUAACCGAAUAGGGGAGCCGAAGGGAAACCGAGUCUUAACUGGGCGUUAAGUUGCAGGGUAUAGACCCGAAACCCGGUGAUCUAGCCAUGGGCAGGUUGAAGGUUGGGUAACACUAACUGGAGGACCGAACCGACUAAUGUUGAAAAAUUAGCGGAUGACUUGUGGCUGGGGGUGAAAGGCCAAUCAAACCGGGAGAUAGCUGGUUCUCCCCGAAAGCUAUUUAGGUAGCGCCUCGUGAAUUCAUCUCCGGGGGUAGAGCACUGUUUCGGCAAGGGGGUCAUCCCGACUUACCAACCCGAUGCAAACUGCGAAUACCGGAGAAUGUUAUCACGGGAGACACACGGCGGGUGCUAACGUCCGUCGUGAAGAGGGAAACAACCCAGACCGCCAGCUAAGGUCCCAAAGUCAUGGUUAAGUGGGAAACGAUGUGGGAAGGCCCAGACAGCCAGGAUGUUGGCUUAGAAGCAGCCAUCAUUUAAAGAAAGCGUAAUAGCUCACUGGUCGAGUCGGCCUGCGCGGAAGAUGUAACGGGGCUAAACCAUGCACCGAAGCUGCGGCAGCGACACUAUGUGUUGUUGGGUAGGGGAGCGUUCUGUAAGCCUGUGAAGGUGUGCUGUGAGGCAUGCUGGAGGUAUCAGAAGUGCGAAUGCUGACAUAAGUAACGAUAAAGCGGGUGAAAAGCCCGCUCGCCGGAAGACCAAGGGUUCCUGUCCAACGUUAAUCGGGGCAGGGUGAGUCGACCCCUAAGGCGAGGCCGAAAGGCGUAGUCGAUGGGAAACAGGUUAAUAUUCCUGUACUUGGUGUUACUGCGAAGGGGGGACGGAGAAGGCUAUGUUGGCCGGGCGACGGUUGUCCCGGUUUAAGCGUGUAGGCUGGUUUUCCAGGCAAAUCCGGAAAAUCAAGGCUGAGGCGUGAUGACGAGGCACUACGGUGCUGAAGCAACAAAUGCCCUGCUUCCAGGAAAAGCCUCUAAGCAUCAGGUAACAUCAAAUCGUACCCCAAACCGACACAGGUGGUCAGGUAGAGAAUACCAAGGCGCUUGAGAGAACUCGGGUGAAGGAACUAGGCAAAAUGGUGCCGUAACUUCGGGAGAAGGCACGCUGAUAUGUAGGUGAGGUCCCUCGCGGAUGGAGCUGAAAUCAGUCGAAGAUACCAGCUGGCUGCAACUGUUUAUUAAAAACACAGCACUGUGCAAACACGAAAGUGGACGUAUACGGUGUGACGCCUGCCCGGUGCCGGAAGGUUAAUUGAUGGGGUUAGCGCAAGCGAAGCUCUUGAUCGAAGCCCCGGUAAACGGCGGCCGUAACUAUAACGGUCCUAAGGUAGCGAAAUUCCUUGUCGGGUAAGUUCCGACCUGCACGAAUGGCGUAAUGAUGGCCAGGCUGUCUCCACCCGAGACUCAGUGAAAUUGAACUCGCUGUGAAGAUGCAGUGUACCCGCGGCAAGACGGAAAGACCCCGUGAACCUUUACUAUAGCUUGACACUGAACAUUGAGCCUUGAUGUGUAGGAUAGGUGGGAGGCUUAGAAGUGUGGACGCCAGUCUGCAUGGAGCCGACCUUGAAAUACCACCCUUUAAUGUUUGAUGUUCUAACGUUGACCCGUAAUCCGGGUUGCGGACAGUGUCUGGUGGGUAGUUUGACUGGGGCGGUCUCCUCCUAAAGAGUAACGGAGGAGCACGAAGGUUGGCUAAUCCUGGUCGGACAUCAGGAGGUUAGUGCAAUGGCAUAAGCCAGCUUGACUGCGAGCGUGACGGCGCGAGCAGGUGCGAAAGCAGGUCAUAGUGAUCCGGUGGUUCUGAAUGGAAGGGCCAUCGCUCAACGGAUAAAAGGUACUCCGGGGAUAACAGGCUGAUACCGCCCAAGAGUUCAUAUCGACGGCGGUGUUUGGCACCUCGAUGUCGGCUCAUCACAUCCUGGGGCUGAAGUAGGUCCCAAGGGUAUGGCUGUUCGCCAUUUAAAGUGGUACGCGAGCUGGGUUUAGAACGUCGUGAGACAGUUCGGUCCCUAUCUGCCGUGGGCGCUGGAGAACUGAGGGGGGCUGCUCCUAGUACGAGAGGACCGGAGUGGACGCAUCACUGGUGUUCGGGUUGUCAUGCCAAUGGCACUGCCCGGUAGCUAAAUGCGGAAGAGAUAAGUGCUGAAAGCAUCUAAGCACGAAACUUGCCCCGAGAUGAGUUCUCCCUGACUCCUUGAGAGUCC
rnacentral:rRNA from 1 species